CCCUACGGGGUGCAGCAGGCGCGAACACUUUACAAUGCGGGAAACCGCGAUAAGGGAACCCCGAGUGCCAGCAUCAAAUGUUGGCUGUCCGGAUGAUUAAAAAUCAUUUGUUAGCAAGGGCCGGGCAAGACCGGUGCCAGCCGCCGCGGUAACACCGGCGGCCCGAGUGGUAGCCGUUUUUAUUGGGUCUAAAGGGUCCGUAGCCGGCCUGAUAAGUCCUUUGGGAAAUCUGGCAGCUUAACUGUCAGGCUUCUAAGGGAUACUGUCAGGCUUGGGACCGGAAGAGGUAAGGGGUACUCCAGGGGUAGGAGUGAAAUCUUGUAAUCCCUGGGGGACCGUCUGUGGCGAAGGCGCCUUACCAGAACGGGUCCGACGGUGAGGGACGAAAGCUAGGGGAGCAAACCGGAUUAGAUACCCGGGUAGUCCUAGCUGUAAACGAUGCUCGCUAGGUGUCAGACACGGUGCGACCGUGUUUGGUGCCGCAGGGAAGCCGUUAAGCGAGCCACCUGGGAAGUACGGUCGCAAGGCUGAAACUUAAAGGAAUUGGCGGGGGAGCAC
rnacentral:rRNA from 1 species